rnacentral:rRNA from 1 species
GAUGAACGCUGGCGGCGUGCCUAACACAUGCAAGUCGAACGUGAGAGGGUAGCAAUAUCCUUGAAAGUGGCGCACGGGUGAGUAAUACGUAGGUAACCUGCCCUGGAGUGGGGGAUAACAGCUAGAAAUGGCUGCUAAUACCGCAUGAGGCCGAGACACUGGGAAGUGACUUGGCGAAAACUCUGGUGCUUCAGGAGGGGCCUGCGGCCGAUUAGCUAGUUGGCGGGGUAAGAGCCCACCAAGGCAUUGAUCGGUAGCUGGUCUGAGAGGACGAUCAGCCACACGGGAACUGAGACACGGUCCCGACUCCUACGGGGGGCAGCAGUGAGGAAUAUUGGGCAAUGGGCGGAAGCCUGACCCAGCAACGCCGCGUGGAGGAAGACGGCCUUCGGGUUGUAAACUCCUUUUACGGGGGAAGAGGAAGGACGGUACCCCGAGAAUAAGUCACGGCUAACUACGUGCCAGCAGCCGCCGUAAAAC